UGCGCGCGGACCAAGAUCGAGUUGCCAAGUCACGAAAAACUCCUACGAAAACCCUAAACAAUUAGAUCUGAAACGAAACAGAAAAUUAAAAGAUUAGAUUUUUGAAUUUUCAAAUCUGAAAUAAAAUCCCCAAAUCAGCAAAGAAUCAAAUUGAGAAUAGAAAUAAGUGUUAGGGUUCUUGAAACCCUCAAGGAGAUUGUGAUUCUGCCCAAUUGAACACCAAGAUAGUUUUCCCCAAAUUUCGAC
rnacentral:lncRNA from 1 species